rnacentral:rRNA from 1 species
CUCAACUAUUAGGCUUUCGGGGGAUACUGCCAGGACUUGGAACCGGGAGAAGGUAAGAGGUACUACAGGGGUAGGAGUGAAAUCUUGGUAAUCCCUGUGGGACCACCUGUGGCGAAGGCGUCUUACCAGAACGGGUUCGACGGUGAGGGACGAAAGCUGGGGGGCACGAACCGGAUUAGAUACCCGGGUAGUCCCAGCCGUAAACGAUGCUCGCUAGGUGUCAGGCAUGGCGCGACCGUGUCUGGUGCCGCAGGGAAGCCGUGAAGCGAGCCACCUGGGAAGUACGGCCGCAAGGCUGAAACUUAAAGGAAUUGCGGGGGAGCACAACAACGGGUGGAGCCCUGCGGUUUAAUUGGACUCAACGCCGGACAACUCACCGGGGGCGACAGCAAUAUGUAGGCCAAGCUGAAGACUUUGCCUGAAUCGCUGAGAAGUGGUGCAUGG